rnacentral:rRNA from 1 species
UACGAAGGGUGCAAGCGUUACUCGGAAUUACUGGGCGUAAAGCGUGCGUAGGUGGUUUGUUAAGUCUGAUGUGAAAGCCCUGGGCUCAACCUGGGAAUGGCAGUGGAAACUAGGGGACUGGAAUCUGGCAGAGGGGGGUGGAAUGCCGCGUGUAGCAGUGAAAUGCGUAGAGAUGCGGCGGAACACCGAUGGCGAAGGCAGCCCCCUGGGCUGAGAUUGACGCUCAGGCACGAAAGCGUGGGGAGCAAACAGG